rnacentral:rRNA from 1 species
AACGUAGGACACAAGCGUUAUCCGGAGUUACUGGGCGUAAAGGGCGUGUAGGCGGAUCGGUAAGUCUACUCUGAAAGCUCCUGGCUAAACUGGGAGAGGCGAGUGGAGACUGUCGGUCUAGAGUGAGGAAGAGGAAAGUGGAAUUCCGCGUGUAGUGGUGAAAUGCGUAGAGAUGCGGAGGAACACCGAUGGCGAAGGCAGCCCCCUGGGCUAACACUGACGCUCAGGCACGAAAGCGUGGGGAGCAAACAGG